AUAUAUGCCUGAGAAUUAUACAGUGUGUAUAUAUCAUACUUUGGAAGUCCAGAUAAGUAACUUUUUUACUGCAUCAACAUGUUAAUAUUCUAGAAAAUGUAAUUUCUUGAGCAAAAUCACCACGACUAUGAUUUUUUAUAUGACCCUAUUUUACGCUUUGGGCUUCAAGCAGUCAACAGCGGAAUAUUUAGAAGUGGUCGCAGGAAGUCUGGUGUUAACUUUGUUUCUGAUAACCUGUACAUCAUGCAUCUUUGGCGAAUAUUCGAAAUGCAAAAUGUGAGCAACAUGAACCCAAUGUCAUCACUGCAUGAAGAGCAAGAGCCAAUAAGGUGAGCGGGAUGAACCCAAUGUCAUCACUGCAUGGAGAUCAAAAGGCCAACAAGGUGAGCGGAAUGAACCCAAUGUCAUCACUGCAUGGAGAGCAAGAGCCAGCAAGGUAAUGUUUAAAUAAAUGUUACAGUAAGAGACACUGUGGAUAUAGCAAGAGAUGAAGGAAAAGGAAUGCUUUUUUUUGUGUUAUUUCUUAUUUUAGUUUUGUCAUUUAUUAAAUGGAAAUAUAGAUAUUGAAUGUACCUUUAUAGACAGUGGCUUCAGUUAUUAUUAAGGGAUUUAAAGGCCUCUUUUGUUUUAAGUACUACUUGUAUAUCAUGUUAUGAAAAAAAAAGUCUCAAAGCCAGUUUGGAUUAAUUCAUAUCUAUAUAACUAUCUAUUUAAACCAUUUGUAUAUCUAUUGGUUUCUUGCAUCCUGUGUGCUUAAUAUACAAUGCUAAACUAUUGUUUGUUUAAUCAGUAAAUAUAAUAUUUUGCUGUUUUCUUAGAACUGUAUACUUGACAAACAAACAUUUCCAUUACACUCUGUUUUACACUCUAUUAUGAAGGGAUGCAUGACAACUUUGUCAACCUUUUUAAAACUUCUAAUGCUUUGUUAUGCAUUUGAUUUUCUGUGCACUUUGAAUUUGAUUGUUGUUUUAUAGUGCAUUCUAAACUCUUUGGAUCUUAUUAACUAGCUCCUUGACAUUUGUUAAUGUUAUUUGUUUAUAAAAAUAAAGAGAUAUGCCAAAAAAUUGUUUUAAUAUCAUUUAACUAUUCUGGUUAUCCUAUAUUUUACUCCUAAACCAUGUUUUAAGCACAAAGAAUGAAACGAUGGAAAAAGGAUAAUAUCUGUUGUAAAAGAAU
rnacentral:lncRNA from 1 species